CUGCGAACCAAGAGGGCACCGCAUCCUGCCCAGUAAGCGAGAUAAAGCUCCCCCUAGUCAAGAGCCGAGGCCGUCCAAACAAGCGGGUGCUGCAAAGCAGGUUAAAGCGACCAAAAGAACAAGAUGAUGGCAGACCAGUGCCAUUUGAGCAGCUGUCUGAGAAGUCGCAAACACAAUUGAUAUUGUCUGGCCUCAUUGGUGACAGCCUGUGCCCAAGGGUGCUAGAUGGUGCCUACAUCUUACAGGAGCAUGACCUGGAAGUUCGUCCAGAAGCCCUCCCCAGUGCUCUGCUAGACUGCAGAGUAUCCUUGCCUAAACUAAAAAAAAAUACUUCAGUCCUGAUGCAUGGGCUCUUUUAACUUCCUCAGUUGCUGUAAAGAAGGAGAAAGGGCUGUGGAGUUGUAGCCUUUGCGAGCUGAUCGACGAUGGACAGACUAGUAUGGUUUGCUGCGACCAAUGCCUAGAGUGGUUCCACUGGCCAUGUGCUGGGAUCACGAAGGAAACUGCAAGGAAGCUGUGGUACUGCACUCGGUGCACUUCGAAGGGUUUCACAGCUGCCUCUGAUUAAGUUCUGCCAUCAGCCUGUUAAGAAUAGCACCUGCCAAAUGAAUUCCAUGUGCCUGGGGCACUUUUGAUAACUCCAAAGUAACCAAGGUCAAUAAAAUUAUUUGCCCCCUCUGACUUUUGUGGACUUUUACCGACAGAUGCCACAGUAUCCUGGUCGUCUUCAUAUCUGCAAUAUUUCAGCUUUUUAAAUUAUUUCGGAAGUCCAACUGGUUCGCGUGGCAGAAUGAUACAAAGGUGCACAGGCAGUCCUAGUUUGCAAUAAAUACAUCGGCGUUAACACUAUUUUACCAUGCAAUUUCAAC
rnacentral:lncRNA from 1 species